rnacentral:sRNA from 1 species
GCCAGAUGUGGUGGCCCAUGCCUGUAAUCCCAGAGACUCAGGAGGCUGAGGCAGGAGGACCAAGAGUCCUGGCAACUUGGUGAGAUCCUGUUUCAA